GACGGAGGAGGCAAGCGGUCUCCGGAAUCAUUGGGCGUAAAGGGUACGUAGGCGGCUGGUCAAGUCUGGGGUCAAAGGCCACAGCUCAACUGUGGGAAGGCCCUGGAAACUGACCGGCUAGAGUGAGGUAGGGGUUGCGGGAAUUCCCGGUGUAGCGGUGAAAUGCGUAGAUAUCGGGAAGAACACCUGAGGCGGAAGAGCGCAACUGGGCCUCAAUUGACGUGGAGCUGCGAAAGCUAGGGGAGCGAAUGGG
rnacentral:rRNA from 1 species